AUUGAACGCUGGCGGCAUGCCUUACACAUGCAAGUCGAACGGAUUCAGGGGCUUGCUCCUGAGUUAGUGGCGAACGGGUGAGUAAUGCAUCGGAACGUACCCAGUUGUGGGGGAUAACGUAGCGAAAGUUACGCUAAUACCGCAUACGACCUGAGGGUGAAAGCGGGGGACUCGCAAGAGCCUCGCGCAAUUGGAGCGGCCGAUGUCAGAUUAACUAGUUGGUAGGAUAAAAGCCUACCAAGGCGACGAUCUGUAGCUGGUCUGAGAGGACGACCAGCCACACUGGGACUGAGACACGGCCCAGACUCCUACGGGAGGCAGCAGUGGGGAAUUUUGGACAAUGGGCGAAAGCCUGAUCCAGCCACGCCGCGUGAGUGAAGAAGGCCUUCGGGUUGUAAAGCUCUUUCGGACAGAAAGAAAUCUUUUGGACUAAUACUCUGAAAGGAUGACGGUACUGUAAGAAGAAGCACCGGCUAACCACGUGCCAGCCGCCGCAGUAA
rnacentral:rRNA from 1 species